AUUGAACGCUGGCGGCAUGCCUUACACAUGCAAGUCGAACGGCAGCACGGGAGCAAUCCUGGUGGCGAGUGGCGAACGGGUGAGUAAAGUAUCGGAACGUGCCCAGUCGUGGGGGAUAACGUAGCGAAAGUUACGCUAAUACCGCAUAAGAGCUAUGGAUGAAAGCGGGGGAUCGCAAGACCUCGCGCGGUUGGAGCGGCCGAUAUCAGAUUAGGUAGUUGGUGGGGUAAAGGCUCACCAAGCCGACGAUCUGUAGCUGGUCUGAGAGGACGACCAGCCACACUGGGACUGAGACACGGCCCAGACUCCUACGGGAGGCAGCAGUGGGGAAUUUUGGACAAUGGGCGAAAGCCUGAUCCAGCCAUGCCGCGUGCAGGAUGAAGGCCUUCGGGUUGUAAACUGCUUUUGUACGGAACGAAAAGGUUUGGCCUAAUAAGCUGAGCUCAUGACGGUACCGUAAGAAUAAGCACCGGCUAACUACGUGCCAGCCGCCGCAGUAA
rnacentral:rRNA from 1 species